rnacentral:rRNA from 1 species
UACGUAGGGGGCGAGCGUUGUCCGGAUUUAUUGGGCGUAAAGAGCUCGUAGGCGGUUUCGUAAGUCAAGUGUGAAAAAUCUGGGCUUAACCCAGUGGAGCACUUGAUACUGCGAUGACUUGAGUGUGGUAGAGGAGUGUGGAAUUCCUGGUGUAGCGGUGAAAUGCGUAGAGAUCCGGAGGAACACCAGUGGCGAAGGCGGCUCUCUGGGUCCGCCCUGACGCUGAGGAGCGAAAGCAUGGGGAGCAAACAGG